AGAGCGGCAAGGAGGGCGCGCGUCCUGAUUGGUUGGUGGAAGUCCCGCCUCUUUCCCGGCCCGCUGCAGCCUAUUGGCUGGAGCGAGCGCGGCCCCCUGGCCCUGACUCUCGGCCAUUGAGGAGAAGGGCGGAGCUGCUGCGGGGAGCCCGUGAUGGGGAAACAUAGACCAGUGAAGUGAAGUGAUUUUCCCAAAGACACACAGCCAGAGCUGAGAGAGCCCGAGUUAGAGUGUGUGUCUCUAGCACACAAGAGGCAGAGGCAAGAGGAUCACCAGUUCUAGGCUAGCCUGGGCUACAUGACAACAAGAAUACAGCUCAGUUGUCAGAGUGCUUGCUUAGGACUCAUGAAGAGCUGGAUUCCAUCCCAGUACCUGUUAAACCAGACAUGGCGGUGUACAUCUGUCAUCCCAGCACUCAGGAGGUAGAGGCAGGGGCUGGAUGGCUCAGUGUGAAGAGCGUGGGUCCUCUUCCAGAGCACCUGGGUGUGAUUCCCAACACUCACAUGACAACUCAUAACUGUAUGGAAUUCCAGUUCUGGGGGACCCAACACUCUCUGUGGCCUCUGUGGGCCCCAGCUUACGCAUCAUGCACAGACAUGCACACAGCCAAUACAUAUAAAAUUAAAAAAAGAAGUGAGAAGCAAGCCAGGAAGCAGCACCUGUCCAUGGCCUCUGCAUCAGCCCCUGCCUCAGGGCUCCUGCCCUGUUUGAGCUCCUGUCCUGACUUCCGGCAGCGGUGAACAGCAAUGUGGAAGUCUGCUGUUCCUCUACCUGGCUCUCCAGUCUGUCCAUGGUCCCUUCAGCUUCCUGAGGAAUACAUGAAGCCAUAUGACUUCAUCCAAGAUAAGCACAGACGGGUUUAUGCAGGAUCGGUGUCCCUCAUGGAUGAAGCAGUGGGAAAAGCAGCCUUGAAAAAGCCACGGGCUCCAGAACAACUGUGUUCAUCUUCUCCACAGACAAUGGUGGGCAGACUCUGUCUGGGGACAACAACUGGCCACUUCGAGGAAGGAAAUGGACCCUGUGGGAAGGAAAUGGACCCUGGGAAGAAAAUGGACCCUGUGGGAAGGAAGCGUCUGUGGAGUGAGCUUUGCGGCGAGCCCCUUGCUGAAACAAAAAGGUGUGGAGACCCGGAGCUCAUCCACUUCUCAGAUUGGCUUCCAACGCUGGCGAAUCUGGCCGGGGGAAGCACCAGUGGUACCAAGCCUCUGGAUGGCUUCGACAUGUGGAGGACCAUCACUGAAGGAAGCCCACCCCUCCCCGAGUGGAGCCGCUGCACAGCAUUGAUCGGACUUUUUUGACAGCUCGCGUGUCCUGGCAGGAGCACGGCCGCCGCAGAGAAUGACUCUUUCCCUUCAGAGUAUUCCGCCCUUAACACGUCCGUCCGCGCUGUCCGCGCUGGGGUUAGAGUAUUCCGUCCUUAACACAUCCGCCCACGCUGUCCACGCUGGGGUUAGGUAUUCCGCCCUCAACACGUCUGUCCACGCUGGGGUUAGAGUAUUCCGCCCUUAACACGUCCGUCCACACUGGGGUUAGACACAGAGCUGGGAACUCCUCACGGGCCACCCAGGCUGUGGUUACUGGUUCCCGCCUCCCUCUCAAUCCAACGUUUCUGAGAUACCUUCGCUGGACUCAUCGACCAAGACACCCUGGCUGUUUGACAUCAAUCAGGACCCUGAAGAAAAACACGACCUGUCCCAGGAGCACCCCACAUCGUCCUGAAGCUCCUUUCCGGCCUGCAGUACUACCACAAGCACUCUGUGCCUUCCUUCUUCCCACGCUUGGACCCGCGCUGUGAUCCCAAGGAUACCGGUGUGUGGAGCCCCUGGAUGUAGGGUCCCAGGGGAGGCUGGAGCACGUGUGUGCAGGCUAGACCUUGGGCCUUCCUUACUCUGCUGGCUGCUUUCUUUUUUAAAAAAGCCCCAGCGCCUUCACCUGGCCCUCAGGCUACAUAACCCACCUAAAGAGCCCAGUUUCAACCCACAGUACAUUUCAAAAGCCAAUAAAAUCCAGAUGGACGGAUCCUGAUGUUGGCUGGUGUUAGUGUCUGGAGGCCAGGGUGACUGGGUUCUUCCUGCUUCCUAAACUGCUGACGCUGGGAACUGGACCUAGAAGGCUAUCCCUGAGUCUUGGAGGCCAGAGCAGCUGGCUCUCUUUGCCUCACACGUCAGUCAUUAGAACUCCCUCUGCUAAUAACCAGUUUUAUUGGCAAAACACACGUAACAAAGGCAGAGGGCAGAUGAUUUCCAGUGGUUCUGCUGGCUGUGAGGGCUCCCUGUCCGUGAGAUCUUGUUCAAGCUUUCCACAUCCAUGACCUGCCGGCUCACCCUCACUCACCUCACUGUGGAGAAUAAAGCCCAUGGCAGUAAACCAGC